GGUAGGAUGGCUGAGUAAAGCGGUGGGUUGUAACCUCACAGACAGAGGUUUAACCCUCUUCUUAUCA
rnacentral:tRNA from 2 species